rnacentral:rRNA from 1 species
GAUGAACGCUGGCGGCGUGCCUAAUACAUGCAAGUCGAGCGAACAGACGAGGAGCUUGCUCCUCUGACGUUAGCGGCGGACGGGUGAGUAACACGUGGAUAACCUACCUAUAAGACUGGGAUAACUUCGGGAAACCGGAGCUAAUACCGGAUAAUAUAUUGAACCGCAUGGUUCAAUAUUUAAAGACGGUUUUGCUGUCACUUAUAGAUGGAUCCGCGCCGCAUUAGCUAGUUGGUAAGUUAAUGGCUUACCAAGGCGACGAUGCGUAGCCGACCUGAGAGGGUGAUCGGCCAAACUGGAACUGAGCCACGGUCCAGACUCCUACGGGAGGCAGCAGUAGGGAAUCUUCCGCAAUGGGCGAAAGCCUGACGGAGCAACGCCGCGUGAGUGAUGAAGGUCUUCGGAUCGUAAAACUCUGUUAUUAGGGAAGAACAAAUGUGUAAGUAACUAUGCACGUCUUGACGGUACCUAAUCAGAAAGCCACGGCUAACUACGUG